rnacentral:rRNA from 1 species
GUGGGGAAUCUUGCGCAAUGGGCGAAAGCCUGACGCAGCCAUGCCGCGUGAAUGAUGAAGGUCUUAGGAUUGUAAAAUUCUUUCACCGGGGACGAUAAUGACGGUACCCGGAGAAGAAGCCCCGGCUAACUUCGUGCCAGCAGCCGCGGUAAUACGAAGGGGGCUAGCGUUGCUCGGAAUUACUGGGCGUAAAGGGCGCGUAGGCGGACAGUUUAGUCAGAGGUGAAAGCCCAGGGCUCAACCUUGGAAUUGCCUUUGAUACUGGCUGUCUUGAGUGUGAGAGAGGUAUGUGGAACUCCGAGUGUAGAGGUGAAAUUCGUAGAUAUUCGGAAGAACACCAGUGGCGAAGGCGACAUACUGGCUCAUUACUGACGCUGAGGCGCGAAAGCGUGGGGAGCAAACAGGAUUAGAAACCCGAGUAGUCC